AAAAAAAUAAAAAGCCUCAUAGAAGUAUCAUGACUAAUGACAUGUUUCAAGAAAGGAAACCUAAUCACAACCUUCACCCUCAAUGGUGUAUCAUGUGUAAGAGGAAUAAGGAAUCUUUGGAUUAUCUAUUCUUGCACUUGCAUUGCCCUUUGGUUUCGGUCUUAUGCAAUCGCCUUUUUCAAUUAGUGGAUAUUUGUUGGGUGGCUCCAGCUACUUGUGAAUAAAUGAGAAAUCAAAAGCAUUGUGGAAUUGUGUAACAUUCUUAUUUUUUGGGGUUAUGCGGUUGGAAAGCUAGGGUUUUUGAGGAUAAGUUCAAGGACAUUGAGUCGUUAUGGAAUAAAGUGUGCCAUUUGGCAUCUCUUUGGGCUUCCGUUUCUUCUCCAUUCAAAGAGAUUCCUCCUUUUUUUAUUUUAGAGAUUGUUGUAUGAUUUGUAGUUUGAACUUCAAUUUGCUUUGCCUUUUGUUUUUUCUUUUCUUUUGGUAGACUCAUUGUCCUUCUCUUGUACUACUCUCCCCAUUAAAAUAAAAUUUACUGUAGACUUAAAUUCGUGUAUUUGUAAAUUAUACAAGUCUGCCCCUAUCGUACCGCAAUUCAGAACAUGUAGCAUACUGCGUUCCUGCUCCUAUUCCUGUUCCAUGCACUGGAACGAUCCAUGUUCUAGCCUCUAGGUAAUAUAGGAUAGGACUAAGUCACAAAGAUUGGGACAGUAAGUGUCAAGCCCUUAAUCUGACAACUUCGACAUCGGCAUUGAUGAUGGCGUUAGGCUAGAAAAUUAGAGACCCUUUACCAGCACUUUAGCCAACAUCAAAUCUAAUGAACUUAUUCUAGUUCUUUCUCUAACCACGAAGUUUAGUGAACUCUAAGAGAGUAAAUGCUUGGGCAGUAAAAGCUUUGCACAAUGCCAGUAAGAUGUUGAAUGAGUAAGACCGACCAAAUUAAAAAACUCAUGAACAAAAUUAGGAGUUUCAAAUGUACACACACACAUACACAAAAAUAUAUAUAUAUAUAUAUUAAACCUGCAGAGUCUUAUGCUCUCUUUUGAGAAUCUUUGUUUCAAGAGAGUAAUCUCUCUCUCUCUCUCUCCCUUAAAAUCUCCUAAUAGUUUAUUAGAAACAAGUAGCAGAGUGACAAGUCACAUUUACAUGCAUCUUAGCAUUAUAAAUAUGUCUUAUCUUUUUAGCACUGAAUAACUUGCGUUGUGGAUAAAAAGCCCUUUUGUAUAGUAACUUUUUCCAUCUAAAUGAAUAUAGGUUUCCUGGCAUGCAAGACCAAAUUAAAAUGGCCUGUCCAGUUUGUUGUAAAACUUGCAGCUGUAAAGCAUGCUUGAAAAAUCAAUCUAAAGAAGAUGAACACAAGGAUCAUUUUAGGAAUGAUGAAAAGAAGGUUGACAAAGUUCAACAAUUGCAUUACCUAAUAUAUAUGCUUUUGCCUGUGCUUGAACGAAUAAAUCGAGAUCAGAGCAUUGAGCUGGAGUUAGAAGCAAAAAUAAAAGG